rnacentral:rRNA from 1 species
GACGAACGCUGGCGGCGUGCUUAACACAUGCAAGUCGAACGAAGUGGCGAACGGGUGAGUAACGCGUAAUCAACCUGCCCUUCAGCGGGGGAAAACAGUUGGAAACGACUGCUAAUACCGAAUACUGAAGGAGGGGAUUGCGUCUGAAUAGCUAGUUGGAGGGGUAACGGCCCACCAAGGCGAUGAUCAGUAGCCGGUCUUAGAGAGUGAGCGGCCACAUGGGGACAGAGAGACGGCCGAGAGUCCUACGGGAGGCAGCAGGUGGGAAUCGUCCGCAAUGGACGAGAGUCUGACGGAGCAACACCGCGUGAGUGAGGACGACCUUCGAGGUGUAAAGCUCUGUUAAACGGGACGCGGUACCGGAAUAGAGAGCCACGGGUAACUACGUGCCAACAGCCGCGGUAAUAA